AUUCAACAGGAAGUUGAGACUGCCACCUGAACACUUUGGGCUCCUCAUGCCUCUGAAUCAACGGGCAAAGAAGAGAGUUAUAGAUCCUAACCACCCAGGAGAAAUUCGGUGGCCACUACACAAACAGAGUAAGAGGAGCAUUUCUAUGAUGCGGGAGAUCCUCUAGAAUGUUUGUUGGUAUUCCCAGGUCCUGUGAUUAAAGUAUGUGGAAAACUAUAGCAGCCCAAUUCAGGAUGUUUCCAGAUACUUCAGUAAGUGAGAACUGUGUCACUACGCCACAUUGACCAGUUGAGAGGCUAGCUCAGUGCAAAGAAAAUAUGAAAUGAGUAGGGGAAGAAGGUAGCUAUAAACAUCAGUUAUGGCCACAUGACCAAUUAUAGAAACAAGACUAGAAUAGUCUUUUCUGACUCUGCGGCCAGGUGUUUGUAUUUAACUCCACGGUGAGGAGACUCAUCUUCUGACGGACCUAACCUAUACCAUCAAGCUCCAGCACCACAAGCAAAGACAAAAACCUUGCGGAAACUAUUUAACUAACUCCCACAAUUGCAUAAGAAGAGUCAUGAUCCUAAGAACAGAAGGGAGAUCCCUGUUGCUUUGACUUCUUGCUGUCCUCCUGCUAUUUGGCUCAAAAUGCAAACUCAGUUAUGAGAAGUACAUAGAAGAACAGGUAAACUAAAGCCUGGGCUUUUUCACCAGAGGAUGUGGAAAAGAGGCUUCAGGAAAUUGAGAAGUAUUAUGGAGAUUGCAAAAAUGAGGGAGCUGAAGAAAGAGUUAGAAUGACAGUGAAUGUGAGAAGAGAGAGAGAUGAAUACCACGAAGUUGCGUAUGUACUGCUGGACUAUACCCUGAACUGAGCAUGUAAACAUCUGACCACAGAUGGUAUAAUAAGGCUUUGAAAACUAAGCUACAAUAAAGACCAUCACCCAGGCCAAAAAUUGCUACUUGGAAAUGCACACACAGACUGAUCCAAAUAGCAUUGAAAACACUUAAAGAAAUGGUGCAGACAUUGGAGUCACAAUCCAAAGAAGGCAGAUCAGAGUUUGUUCCAUAAGCCUGAAUAGGUUGAUUGCUUAAUAUAAGAAGAAAAUCAACCUUUUUCUUAUGAUUUAAGACAUAAUCAGAGUCUCAUAACAUAUUCUCAAAAUGCCCAGGAUAUAAUUUAAAAUUAUUUGGCAUAUGAGAAACCAGUGUGAUCGUCUCUUAACUCUUAAAGAAAAAGACAAUUAAAAAUAUCACAAUCAAAAUGACAGGAAUGUUGUAUUUAUCAGAUAAAGACAUUAAAGAGAUAUUAUAACCAUGCUCUAACAGGCAAAUGAAAAGACUCAUAAUGAAUAGAAAAAUAGAAGGUCUCAGCAAAGAGAAAGAAUAUAUGAAGAUGAAAAA
ensembl:lncRNA LINC01938 long intergenic non-protein coding RNA 1938